UGGGGAAUAUUGGACAAUGGGCGCAAGCCUGAUCCAGCCAUGCCGCGUGGAUGAAGAAGGCCCUAGGGUUGUAAAGUCCUUUCACCGCCGAGGAUAAUGACGGUAGGCGGAGAAGAAGCCCCGGCUAAUUUCGUGCCAGCAGCCGCGGUAAUACGAAAGGGGCUAGCGUUGUUCGGAAUUACUGGGCGUAAAGCGCGCGUAGGCGGCAUAUCAAGUUGGGGGUGAAAUCCCGGGGCUCAACUCCGGAACUGCCUCCAAAACUGGUAAGCUAGAGGAUGCGAGAGGAUAGUGGAAUUCCGAGUGUAGAGGUGAAAUUCGUAGAUAUUCGGAAGAACACCAGUGGCGAAGGCGACUGUCUGGCGCAUUUCUGACGCUGAGGCGCGAAAGCGUGGGGAGCAAACAGGAUUAGAUACCCCCGUAGUCC
rnacentral:rRNA from 1 species